rnacentral:rRNA from 1 species
UUGAUCCUGCCGGAAACUUAAAGGAAUUGGCGGGCUUCCGGUUGAUCCUGCCGGAAGAAACUUAAAGGAAUUGGCGGGAAACUUAAAGGAAUUGGCGGGAAACUUAAAGGAAUUGGCGGGUUUCCGGUUGAUCCUGCCGGACCUGACUGCUAUCGGAAUGAUACUAAGCCAUGCGAGUCAUUGUAGCAAUACAAGGCAGACGGCUCAGUAACGCGUAGUCAAUCUACCCUAUGGACGGGAAUAACCUCGGGAAACUGAGAAUAAUGCCCGAUAGAACAUUAUACCUGGAACGGUUUAUGUUUCAAAUGAUUUAUCGCCGUAGGAUGGGACUGCGGCCUAUCAGUUUGUUGGUGAGGUAAUGGCCCACCAAGACUAUUACAGGUACGGGCUCUGAGAGGAGUAGCCCGGAGAUGGGUACUGAGACACGGACCCAGGCCCUAUGGGGCGCAGCAGGCGAGAAAACUUUGCAAUGUGCGAAAGCACGACAAGGUUAAUCCGAGUGGUUUCUGCUAAAGAAACCUUUUGCUAGUCCUAGAAACACUAGUGAAUAAGGGGUGGGCAAGUUCUGGUGUCAGCCGCCGCGGUAAAACCAGCACCUCAAGUGGUCAGGAUGAUUAUUGGGCCUAAAGCAUCCGUAGCUCGUUUUGUAAGUUUUCGGUUAAAUCCAUACGCUCAACGUAUGGGCUGCCGGGAAUACUGCAUAACUAGGAAGUGGGAGAGGUAGACGGUACUCGGUAGGAAGGGGUAAAAU